rnacentral:rRNA from 1 species
CCUACGGGUGGCAGCAGUGAGGAAUAUUGGUCAAUGGACGAGAGUCUGAACCAGCCAAGUAGCGUGAAGGAUGACUGCCCUAUGGGUUGUAAACUUCUUUUAUAUGGCAAUAAAUUGUUCCACGUGUGGGAUUUUGUAUGUACCAUAUGAAUAAGGAUCGGCUAACUCCGUGCCAGCAGCCGCGGUAAUACGGAGGAUCCGAGCGUUAUCCGGAUUUAUUGGGUUUAAAGGGAGCGUAGGUGGAUUGUUAAGUCAGUUGUGAAAGUUUGCGGCUCAACCGUAAAAUUGCAGUUGAAACUGGCAGUCUUGAGUACAGUAGAGGUGGGCGGAAUUCGUGGUGUAGCGGUGAAAUGCUUAGAUAUCACGAAGAACUCCGAUUGCGAAGGCAGUUCACUGGACUGCAACUGACACUGAGGCUCGAAAGUGUGGGUAUCAAACAGGAUUAGAUACCCUUGUAGUC